AUUGAACGCUGGCGGCAGGCCUAACACAUGCAAGUCGAGCGAGCGGAGGACGGGCGAAUAAUGUCUGGGAAACUGCCUGAUGGAGGGGUCUAACUACUGGAACCGGUAGCUAAUACCGCAUACUAUCAGAUGUGCCCAGAGGGGAUUAGCUAGUAGGUGGGGUAAAGGCUCACCUAGGCGACGAUCCCUAGCUGGUCUGAGAGGAUGACCGGCCACACUGGAACUGAGACCCGGUCCAGACUCCUACGGGAGGCAGCAGUGGGGAAUAUUGCGCAAUGGGCGCAAGCCUGAUGCAGCCAUGCCGCGUGUGUGAAGAAGGCCUUCGGGUUGUAAAGCACUUUCAGCGGGGAGGCGUUACUCGCAGAAGAAGCACCGGCUAACUCCGUGCCAGCAGCCGCGGUAAUAC
rnacentral:rRNA from 1 species